AAAUAAAUAAAUGUCGCAUUAGUAACACAAUUAUAUUUAUAAUAGCGGGACAGAAUAAAUAAUAAAUGAAUAAUGAAAGGUUUUAUCGUAAUUGUGUGUAAUUAUUGCAGAUAGAAGAUGAGGGCUUAUCAAAAUGGAUACCAAGUGGAGAGGAGUGUGAUGGAUCAAUGUUCGAUUUAGGAAAUAUGAAAAUAAGAGAAUCCAAAACAAUAAAAGGACAAUGUGCUAGUGCAACAUGCGAUGGGAGCAGCAUCUCAGUAAAGGAUUGUGGAUAUUUGAUAAUGGGGCCGUGGAGUCAUUAUGGUAAUUUAGAUCUAACUAAACCAUACCCAGAUUGUUGUCCUAAACUAAUAUGUGAAUAAGAGUACCAGUUUAAAGUUCAACCAAUGCAUAUUUGUUCUAAGUACAAAAAUUAAAGCUAUUUGUAUCGUCUCGUGUUUUAUGUUUCAUUCUGUAAAUUUUAAAUAACAUACAACCUUAAUUGUUUAGUUGUGGAUGUCUGAUUGGGAGUGGGUGUCCUUAUGAUGACGGAGAUAUAACCAAAUCUUACCCAGAAUGUUAUCCUAAACGCAGAUGUGACAAUAAAAUACCGUAUCAAGACAACUAACUUUUUUAAUACAGAAGAAAGCAAAUUAAUAUUUUAAAGUAUAACCAAUGUAUAUUUGUUCUGAACUAAUAAAUAAAUCCU